rnacentral:rRNA from 1 species
GACCGUGCGAAGGUAGCGUAAUCACUUGUCUUUUAAAUGAGGACCUGUAUGAAUGGCAUAACGAGGGCUUUACUGUCUCCUUUUUCUAGUCUAUGAAAUUGAUCUCCCCGUGCAGAAGCGGGGAUAAAGACAUAAGACGAGAAGACCCUAUGGAGCUUUAGACGCUAGGACAGGCACGUGUUGAACACUCUUGGAUAAAAGACUAAGCGACGUGACACACUGUUCACAUGUCUUUGGUUGGGGCGACCCUGGGGAACAAAAAAACCCCCAUGAAGACAGGGAACACAUCCUCCUACAAGCAAUGAGCCACCGCUCUAACUCACAGAAUUUUUGACUUAUAGGAUCCGGCAUAGCCGAUCAACGGACCGAGUUACCCUAGGGAUAACAGCGCAAUCCUCUUUCAGAGCCCAUAUCGACAAGAGGGUUUACGACCUCGAUGUUGGAUCAGGACAUCCUAAUGGUGCAGCCGCUAUUAA